CCGAGGCCAGUGGUCUCACGGAGAAAGAAGAGAACAAGAAGAAAAACAAGAAGGUGGCAAUGUCCAUUACCAGAAAGUGCACGGUAAUCUAAACGUUGGUGACCUCUUGGUAGUCCCAGCAAGCCAUCCUAUUACCCUUAUAGCCACUGGAGGCUCAAAUUUCAGGCUAGUUGCGUUUGGUGUGAAUGCUCAAAACAACAAAAAGAACUUCCUUGCAGGUAUACUCCUAAGUUUCCUCUGUUCUUUCACAUAUUCCAACAUCUUCAAUGAGAGUAAUUCCUUUUUGUGAACAAUUAACAUGCCAAUAUUAGUACAGGUGUUUUGGUAGGUGAGAUAACGAUAAUAAUUCUAGGAUAAAAUUGAGAUUGAACUUUAUUUGAUAUUUGAUUUAAGAUAUUCCCUAAUUUAGGGAUAAUUUUUUCCCAUCUUUUGUGGAUUACUACCCCAUAUAGAAGAACCCUGUAAGAUGUCCUUGCUUUGCUCGAGUACUGAACGACCCCAAAGUGUAUUAAAUCUGCUAUACCAACGUUAACUAAUUUCACUUAGUAUGUAUUAUUGCCAUCAAUAUUUUACAGUAUUAAGCGUGUUCCUAUAACAACUUAGCAUGUUAUAGUGUAACAACUUGAUCAUAUUAGAUUUUUAUCGUUAACUCUCUCUUGGUUUGGCAAAAUAGGUAAAGUAAACUUAUGGAGAAACGUAGACAGGGAAGCAAAGGAACUGUCAUUCAACAUGCCUGGAAGGGAGGUAGAAGAGAUCUUCCAAAAGCAAGACCAAUCCUUCUUUGUGGCAGGGCCCGGGCAGCAGAGGGAGAGGGGUGAACAAGGAAAAAG
rnacentral:lncRNA from 1 species